AACGAACGCUGGCGGCAGGCUUAACACAUGCAAGUCGAACGCCUGUAGCAAUACAGGAGUGGCAGACGGGUGAGUAACACGUGGGAACGUGCCCAAAGGUACGGAACAACUCCGGGAAACUGGAGCUAAUACCGUAUGUGCCCGAAAGGGGAAAGAUUUAUCGCCUUUGGAUCGGCCCGCGUCUGAUUAGCUAGUUGGUGGGGUAAUGGCCUACCAAGGCGACGAUCAGUAGCUGGUCUGAGAGGAUGGCCAGCCACACUGGGACUGAGACACGGCCCAGACUCCUACGGGAGGCAGCAGUGGGGAAUAUUGGACAAUGGGCGCAAGCCUGAUCCAGCCAUGCCGCGUGAGUGAUGAAGGCCUUAGGGUUGUAAAGCUCUUUCGCCAGGGACGAUAAUGACGGUACCUGGAUAAGAAGCCCCGGCUAACUUCGUGCCAGCCGCCGCAGUAAGAC
rnacentral:rRNA from 1 species